GAUUAUUUUGGUGUACAAAAGUGCCAGUGGAGACGCAUGGACUGUUUUGACAAUGUUUCUGACGGUCUCACCGUUUGUGUUGUCCUCCACACUGUUAUCGGGAGAGGACUCAUAAGGUGCUGUACUUUCUUCUGAAAGCAUCGUCCAAUCCUCUUCCAGCCACGGACAGAAGUCGUUGCAGAAGCUGAUGAUCUCCAAAAGUGAGCCUGGACGACAAAAUCAGUCAUAAUGUAGAGGGUUCAUCAAAUGCUGUACCGGCAUCUGAAACCACAGUCCAGUCCUCCUCGUCCAGCCAGGGACAGAAGUUACUGCAGAAGCUGAUGGUCUCCA